rnacentral:rRNA from 1 species
UUGACUGUGCUAAGGUAGCAUAAUAAAUUGGCUUUUAAUUGAAGUCGAGAAUGAAAGGGUGUUUGAAGUUAUUCUGUCUUAUUUUUAUUUUUUAAAAAUUACUAAUGAGGUGAAAAUUCCUCAAUAUUAUUUGAUAGACGAGAAGACCCUAAGAAUUAUUACAACUAAUUAAAGUAAAUUAAUAAAAGUUUUUGUUGGGGCAACAACUUUGAAUAACCAAAGUUAAAAUUUACUAUAGAAAGAAUAUAUUAAAAAUAAAUUUAAUUACCUUAGGGAUAACAGCAUAAUUACUAUUUUAGAUUGUGACCUCGAUGUUGGAUUAAGGCCU